GAUGUGCCGCAAGGUGCAUGGCAGACGGGUGAGUAACGCGUGGGGAACCUACCUCUUUGUGGGGAAUAACGCUCCGAAAGGAGUGGUAAUACCGCAUGAGACCAUCGGCUGGGAUGCUGGUGGUGAAAGCUGGGGAUCGAAAGACCUAGCGCGAGGAGAGGGUCCUGCGUCUGAUUAGCUAGUUGGUGGGGUAAUGGCCUACCAAGGCGAUGAUCAGUAGCCGGCCUGAGAGGGUGAUCGGCCACACUGGAACUGAGACACGGUCCAGACUCCUACGGGAGGCAGCAGUGGGGAAUUUUGCGCAAUGGGCGAAAGCCUGACGCAGCAACGCCGCGUGGGUGAUGAAGGUCUUCGGAUCGUAAAACCCUGUCGUCAGGGACGAAGGUUGCAUGCCUAACAGGUGUGUAAUUUGACGGUACCUGGAGAGGAAGCCCCGGCUAACUCUGUGCCAGCAGCCGCGGUAAUACAGAGGGGGCAAGCGUUAUUCGGAAUUAUUGGGCGUAAGGGGCGCGUAGGCGGUGUUUUAAGUGAGAUGUGUAAUCCCCGAGCUUAACUUGGGAACUGCAUCUCAGACUGGGACGCUAGAGUGCUGGAGAGGGUGGUAGAAUUCCACGUGUAGCGGUGAAAUGCGUAGAGAUGUGGAGGAAUACCAGUGGCGAAGGCGGCCACCUGGACAGUAACUGACGCUGAGGCGCGAAAGUGUGGGGAGCAAACAGGAUUAGAUACCCUGGUAGUCC
rnacentral:rRNA from 1 species